rnacentral:rRNA from 1 species
AUGCAGUCGGACGGCAGCACAGAGAAGCUUGCUUCUUGGGUGGCGAGUGGCGAACGGGUGAGUAACAUAUCGGAACGUACCGAGUAGUGGGGGAUAACUGAUCGAAAGAUCAGCUAAUACCGCAUACGUCUUGAGAGAGAAAGCAGGGGACCUUCGGGCCUUGCGCUAUUCGAGCGGCCGAUAUCUGAUUAGCUAGUUGGUGGGGUAAAGGCCUACCAAGGCGACGAUCAGUAGCGGGUCUGAGAGGAUGAUCCGCCACACUGGGACUGAGACACGGCCCAGACUCCUACGGGAGGCAGCAGUGGGGAAUUUUGGACAAUGGGCGCAAGCCUGAUCCAGCCAUGCCGCGUGUCUGAAGAAGGCCUUCGGGUUGUAAAGGACUUUUGUCAGGGAAGAAAAGGCUGUUGCUAAUACCAGCGGCUGAUGACGGUACCUGAAGAAUAAGCACCGGCUAACUACGUGCCAGCAGCCGCGGUAAUACGUAGGGUGCGAGCGUUAAUCGGAAUUACUGGGCGUAAAGCGGGCGCAGACGGUUACUUAAGCAGGAUGUGAAAUCCCCGGGCUCAACCCGGGAACUGCGUUCUGAACUGGGUGACUCGAGUGUGUCAGAGGGAGGUAGAAUUCCACGUGUAGCAGUGAAAUGCGUAGAGAUGUGGAGGAAUACCGAUGGCGAAGGCAGCCUCCUGGGAUAACACUGACGUUCAUGCCCGAAAGCGUGGGUAGCAAACAGGAUUAGAUACCCUGGUAGUCCACGCCCUAAACGAUGUCAAUUAGCUGUUGGGCAACUUGAUUGCUUGGUAGCGUAGCUAACGCGUGAAAUUGACCGCCUGGGGAGUACGGUCGCAAGAUUAAAACUCAAAGGAAUUGACGGGGACCCGCACAAGCGCUGGAUGAUGUGAUUAAUUUCGAUGCAACGCGAAGAACCCUUACCUG